GAGGGCGGGCAAGAAAGGAGAUGAUGGGGCAAAACUGCCGGCGAGUCCUCCGGCCUUCCAAGAACCGGUGGUGGUUCCAUCUUUAUGGAGGCUUCUUCCAUCCGUUUUCCUUCUUCUCCUCCUCACCCAGAUACUGUCGCCUCCUCUUCUUCCGACGGCAGACAAGGCUCACCAUGACAUAGCUGGAGCAUCUCAAGGUGGAGGAGAAGGUCUUCGAAAUCGACCGCGUCAUCCAUGGCACUGCCUCUCUCAUCCAGCCGCCCUUCGUGUUUUUGUUUUAUAAUAUGAAAAAGUGGUUGGCAAUGAAAGCUCUGUUCAUUUCAACUGUCAAGCAUAUGAAGUUGGUUUUGCCGGAGAGAUGCCAUAAGUGAGCUCAAAAUUGCAGAUGAACAUUUUAUAUGUUAGGAGAAGCGUGAAUCCUUUAAUUAAAAAGAAGACUUUGUUGGUGCACGACAGGUUCCUGAUCUCUAGCAGUAAGGCGUGAAGCUGACAAAGUAAAAGGAGCAACGAGGAAAUGAAUCAACGGUAAAAAGCUGAAGGCCAAUCGCUGAGCUACCCCUUAUUUUGAGUGUACGAUUUACAACGAGGAAAUGAAUCAACGAGAGCUUUUACUACUGGCACCAAUCAAUUAAAGAAAAGAAGAAAAUUUAGAGUAAAGUGCUCUCGUCAUUGCAAGAUAUCAGCAAUCCGACAAUAAUUUAGUAGUCUUCCUCCCAUGUUUCAAAUCCUCAGCCUUGCAGGUCGGUCGUCCUGCAUCUCCAGGUGAAGGCAUCGGCCUUCACCUCAAGCAAGGUUUAUUAUACCAGGCACUUUUGUAUAUAAUACAAUAUUUUUGUCAAACAAUUAGGAUAUUUUUGUCAAAUACCAGGCACUCUUACGAAGAAACUCCUCCAUAAUAUUUCCCAAACAAUUAGGAUAUUUUUGUAUAUAAUAUAAUAUUUUUGUAUAUGAAGAAACUCCUCCAUAAUGGAUUUUCUGAAUAAUACAAUAUUAUAUAGAUUUCUACGCA